AAUGCAGGUUUAAAACAUAACCAAAAGAACAAAAGAGAGAGCUUGACACACCAAUCUUGAGGUUAUCACGCUAUAAUAGAGAAUGGACUCAUUAAUAUGGGAUUACAGAGGAAGGAAUGGUUAAGAAAAAGACAUGGCCUCUGACUGCUCCAAAAAAGGAUAAGCAGGGCUUCACAGAAGAGGUGACAGGUUUCUGGAUGGCAGAUCAUUCAACCUUCUUUUUCUUGAGUUUUCUACUCUGCUGUCAUCUUCCACUCAUUUCUGCUUCAUUUUGUGAUUCGUUAACAGAAAAGGAAGUGGAAUGGAAUAAAAUCCCCCAAUACAGUACAAUUAUACAUUAAUGGCUGUAAUGUGAAGAGCAUCACACACGAAGAGAGCCAUCUUCCAGAAAUAAGUUUAUACACUCUCUCCUCUAAUUGCAUCAGGACUUUACCAGAUAAUGUUCUUCCAGAUCUGAAAAGGAAAAUGCCUAAAAGAGCUUCCAAACUCAUUUUUGAAUAAUACUAGGCUACAAAGAAUUACACUGUGAAUUCAUUAAGGGUAACACCAAAUCACUA
rnacentral:lncRNA from 1 species